rnacentral:rRNA from 1 species
ACGUAGGUGGCGAGCGUUGUUCGGAUUUAUUGGGCGUAAAGGGUCCGCAGGGGGUCUGUUAAGUCUGAUGUGAAAUCUCACGGCUCAACCGUGAAACUGCAUUGGAUACUGACGGACUAGAGUAUUGGAGAGGAGAGCGGAAUUCCAGGUGUAGCGGUGGAAUGCGUAGAUAUCUGGAAGAACACCGAAAGCGAAGGCAGCUCUCUGGACAAUUACUGACCCUCAGGGACGAAAGCGUGGGGAUCAAACAG